rnacentral:rRNA from 1 species
GAUGAACGCUAGCUACAGGCUUAACACAUGCAAGUCGAGGGGAAACGAUAUUGGAAGCUUGCUUCCGAUAGGCGUCGACCGGCGCACGGGUGAGUAACGCGUAUCCAACCUGCCCAUCACUUGGGGAUAACCUUGCGAAAGUAAGACUAAUACCCAAUGACGUCUCUAGAAGACAUCUGAAAGAGAUUAAAGAUUUAUCGGUGAUGGAUGGGGAUGCGUCUGAUUAGCUUGUUGGCGGGGUAACGGCCCACCAAGGCGACGAUCAGUAGGGGUUCUGAGAGGAAGGUCCCCCCANAUUGGAACUGAGACACGGUCCAAAACUCCUACGGGGAGGCAGCAGUGAGGAAUAUUGGUCAAUGGACGAGAGUCUGAACCAGCCAAGUAGCGUGAAGGAUGACUGCCCUAUGGGUUGUAAACUUCUUUUAUACGGGAAUAAAGUGAGGCACGUGUGCCUUUUUGUAUGUACCGUAUGAAUAAGGAUCGGCUAACUCCGUGCCAGCAGCCGCGG